rnacentral:rRNA from 1 species
UACGGAGGGAGCUAGCGUUAUUCGGAAUUACUGGGCGUAAAGCGCACGUAGGCGGCUUUGUAAGUAAGAGGUGAAAGCCUGGAGCUCAACUCCAGAACUGCCUUUUAGACUGCAUCGCUUGAAUCCAGGAGAGGUGAGCGGAAUUCCGAGUGUAGAGGUGAAAUUCGUAGAUAUUCGGAAGAACACCAGUGGCGAAGGCGGCUCACUGGACUGGUAUUGACGCUGAGGUGCGAAAGCGUGGGGAGCAAACAGG